GUGCCAGCCGCUGCGGUAAUACGGAGGGUGCAAGCGUUAAUCGGAAUUACUGGGCGUAAAGCGCACGCAGGCGGUCUGUUAAGUCAGAUGUGAAAUCCCCGGGCUCAACCUGGGAACUGCAUCUGAUACUGGCAGGCUUGAGUCUCGUAGAGGGGGGGUAGAAUUCCAGGUGUAGCGGUGAAAUGCGUAGAGAUCUGGAGGAAUACCGGUGGCGAAGGCGGCCCCCUGGACGAAGACUGACGCUCAGGUGCGAAAGCGUGGGGAGCAAACAGGAUUAGAUACCCUGGUAGUCCACGCCGUAAACGAUGUCGACUUGGAGGUUGUGCCCUUGAGGCGUGGCUUCCGGAGCUAACGCGUUAAGUCGACCGCCUGGGGAGUACGGCCGCAAGGUUAAAACUCAAAUGAAUUGACGGGGGCCCGCACAAGCGGUGGAGCAUGUGGUUUAAUUCGAUGCAACGCGAAGAACCUUACCUGGUCUUGACAUCCACGGGAGUUUCAGAGAUGAGAAUGUGCCUUCGGGAACCGUGAGACAGGUG
rnacentral:rRNA from 1 species